GAUGAACGCUGGCGGCGUGCUUAACACAUGCAAGUCGAGCGAGAAGUUUUGAAAAGAUUCUUCGGAUGAAAUUUAAAAUGGAAAGCGGCGGACGGGUGAGUAACGCGUAGGCAACCUGCCCCAUACAAAGGGAUAGCAUUUGGAAACGAAUAUUAAUACCUUAUGAAACUUAACUAGUGCAUGCUAGGUAGGUCAAAGAUUUAUCGGUAUGGGAUGGGCCUGCGUCUGAUUAGCUAGUUGGUGAGGUAACGGCUCACCAAGGCGACGAUCAGUAGCCGACCUGAGAGGGUGAACGGCCACAUUGGAACUGAGACACGGUCCAAACUCCUACGGGAGGCAGCAGUGGGGAAUAUUGCACAAUGGGGGAAACCCUGA
rnacentral:rRNA from 1 species